rnacentral:lncRNA from 1 species
GUAUAGUAGCAUAUGUGAGUAUGGGAGAAAACACAUGGGACAGUCAUCCCAUGUGCGUAUUGCUGUCGCUUCUUUGUUUAUAGCACCGGUGAAUUAUGGAUUGCGAUACUUUGAACAAGAGAGUGAGAUUCCCAGCAAGGCCUGUGUUGUUGCCACAGGUUGGCAUACGGAUUGCUCACAAGUGUCACAAGAUGCAUUUUUUGCCAUCAGCUCCAGCAUUCUACGAUGAGCAAUUUUCAGGUUGCCCAUGAGUGACUUGUUUCGGGUGUGCUCAUUGCAGACUUGCAGUGAAAGUGGUCCUGUAAAUGAAUUGCACCAUUGGAGCACGCCUAUCUUGACUGGCGCUAGCUCCAUCACUUCUGGCUAGGGUAAAAGUAUGCACCAUGAAAUUGCACAGUGACCACCAUGCUCGGCGACCACUGAGAAGUUGUGGCUGGAAAAAACUGCACACAGUUUCGAGUCAUAUCUAGGGUAGAAUUUUCCCAAGCUUGGCACUCUUCACAAUUAUCACCCUUCAAGGUGUAUUCUUGCCACGCAAUAAUUGUCGAUGUGUGUGUUUGCUUCAUUGUUGCAUGCCUAGCACUUUCAUGUCAGGAACCUAGGUACCAGGUAUCCUAGGGGUCAGAGGCCUAGGUAUUUAGUACCCAGGUCCUUAGGUGCGGAAUGCAAAGGUACAAGUGCGAAGUCGCUGAGCAUGCAGUGUGAAGAAACCAAAUGAACAGAGGAUUCACUACGAUUAUCACUUUGUGGCAAAGUUACACCUAAAGGGUGUGCAGUGUAGACACGCAUGCAGGGAGAGCUACACAGUCAUGUCCUUACCAAGGUUGCAGAAGUGAACUGUGCUUCAGUGAACUAGGUUUGCAAACAGAAUUAUGUUCUCGAGUGUAAAACAAGGGAAUGAAAUGCUGAUUGAAACCGUCGAUUUCCUUUUGCACUUGCACUCUGCAGUGCCUGUUGACUUCUCAUGAUUUGACUGCCACCGUAUGUCUUGUUGGUAUUCAACAAAAGUUUGUUACAUUUUAUUGCUACGGUAUUGCUGUAAAUAUAAAUGCGUAUUUUUUUUCUUUUUACUGUAUGCUGCAUAAAUAUGUUACUUUCGUACAGAGAGUGCAUAAAAUU